CACGUAGGAGGCAAACGUUAUCCGGAUUUACUGGGCGCAAAGCGCGUGUAGGUGGUUCUGUAAGUAGGGCGUGAAAGCUCCCGGCUCAACUGGGAGAGGCCGUUCUAAACUGCAGAGCUAGAGGAUGGUAGAGGGAGGUGGAAUUCCAGGUGUAGCGGUGGAAUGCGCAGAUAUCUGGAGGAACACCAGUGGCGAAGGCGGCCUCCUGGACCAUUCCUGACACUCAGACGCGAAAGCUAGGGUAGCAAACGGGAUUAGAUACCCGUGUAGU
rnacentral:rRNA from 1 species